AGCUCAGUGGAUAGAGCACCAUGUGCGCUUUCGAUUUUCGCCUCGCAUGUUUUAAAAUCAUCAAGUGCCGUAGAAUAGCGUUACUUCGAUUUCGGUUCUGGCGGUCGCGGGUUCGAAUCCCGUCCUUC
rnacentral:tRNA from 1 species